rnacentral:rRNA from 1 species
UACGUAGGGUGCAAGCGUUGUCCGGAAUUAUUGGGCGUAAAGAGCUCGUAGGCGGUCUGUCGAGUCGGCUGUGAAAACUCGGGGCUCAACCCCGAGCCUGCAGUCGAUACGGGCAGACUAGAGUGCUGUAGGGGAGACUGGAAUUCCUGGUGUAGCGGUGAAAUGCGUAGAGAUCGGGAAGAACAUCGGUGGCGAAGGCGCUCUACUGGACCACAACUGACACUCAGGGACGAAAGCUAGGGGAGCGAAUGGG